GCGUAAAGGGCUCGCAGGCGGUUUCUUAAGUCUGAUGUGAAAGCCCCCGGCUCAACCGGGGAGGGUCAUUGGAAACUGGGAAACUUGAGUGCAGAAGAGGAGAGUGGAAUUCCACGUGUAGCGGUGAAAUGCGUAGAGAUGUGGAGGAACACCAGUGGCGAAGGCGACUCUCUGGUCUGUAACUGACGCUGAGGAGCGAAAGCGUGGGGAGCGAACAGGAUUAGAUACCCUGGUAGUCCACGCCGUAAACGAUGAGUGCUAAGUGUUAGGGGGUUUCCGCCCCUUAGUGCUGCAGCUAACGCAUUAAGCACUCCGCCUGGGGAGUACGGUCGCAAGACUGAAACUCAAAGGAAUUGACGGGGGCCCGCACAAGCGGUGGAGCAUGUGGUUUAAUUCGAAGCAACGCGAAGAACCUUACCAGGUCUUGACAUCCUCUGACAACCCUAGAGAUAGGGCUUUCCCUUCGGGGACAGAGUGACAGGUGGUGCAUGGUUGUCGUCAGCUCGUGUCGUGAGAUGUUGGGUUAAGUCCCGCAACGAGCGCAACCCUUGAUCUUAGUUGCCAGCAUUCAGUUGGGCACUCUAAGGUGACUGCCGGUGACAAACCGGAGGAAGGUGGGGAUGACGUCAAAUCAUCAUGCCCCUUAUGACCUGGGCUACACACGUGCUACAAUGGACAGAACAAAGGGCUGCAAGACCGCAAGGUUUAGCCAAUCCCAUAAAUCUGUUCUCAGUUCGGAUCGCAGUCUGCAACUCGACUGCGUGUAGCUGGAAUCGCUAGUAAUCGCGGAUCAGCAUGCCGCGGUGAA
rnacentral:rRNA from 1 species